UUAUAUUUGUUUUCAUUCAGACUGAUUGAGAGUAAAGGUUGCCCGAAGGCAAGCAGAGGUAGAUUUGCAAGGGUGGCCAGUAAACUGGUAAUGAUCCUUCCGCAGGUUCACCUACGGAAA
rnacentral:misc_RNA from 1 species